rnacentral:lncRNA from 1 species
UACCCGUGGAUGGAGUCGAGAACUCAUCACGGCGUGGAGCCACCACUGAGUUAAUCCUCACAUGCACUAUGCUAGAGUACGACGUUUGAGCUUCUAUUUCAUAUUUGUUCUUUGAUAUGUUCUGAAAUGCUUUUUAUGCUUCCGAAAUAUUUCCAUAUGCCAUUGAUACGUUCUGAAGCAUUUCAUUCACCAUUGAUAUGUUCCGAACUGUUUCAUAUGCCAUAGAUAUCCAAAAUGCUCCUUACGUCUUUGUUAUGCCUUGAAAUUAUCAUAUGUCAUCGAUAUGCUCCUUAUGCCAAUGAUAUGCUCCAAUUUCCUUUCUCCUAUUGUUAUGUCUAAUGCCUGUUUUUGAACGAGGUAAACCUUUGUGAUUUUAUAUCAAAUGAGAUGACUUCAAAUGAACACUUGUAUUUCUACUUUUGUUAUCUUGAUACUAAGCCUGCUUGAACUUCUCCUAUCGCCAUGGAUAUGCUAGUC